ACAUGCCUACAACAUAGCGUUAAUGCAAUGGGUACCAUUAGAAAUAUGCAGUUAAGCAUGCUUGGUUAGAGUAGUACUGGGAUGGGUGACCACCUAGGAAGCCCUAGUGUUUUACAUGCC
rnacentral:rRNA from 1 species